GAUGAAGAACGCAGCGAAAUGCGAUAAGUAAUGUGAAUUGCAGAAUUCAGUGAAUCAUCGAAUCUUUGAACGCACAUUGCGCCCGCCAGUUUUCUGGCGGGCAUGCCUGUUCGAGCGUCAUUUCAACCAUCAAGCCCCCGGCUUGUGUUGGGGACCUGCGGCUGCCGCAGGCCCUGAAAAGCAGUGGCGGGCUCGCUGUCACACCGAGCGUAGUAGCAUACAUCUCGCUCUGGGCGUGCUGCGGGUUCCGGCCGUUAAACCACCUUCAUAACCCAAGGUUGACCUCGCAUCAGGUAGGAAGACCCGCUGAACUUAAGCAUAUCAAUAAGCGGAGGA
rnacentral:misc_RNA from 1 species